GGAGAGUUUGAUCCUGGCUCAGGACGAACGCUGGCGGCGUGCAUAAAACAUGCAAGUCGAACGGGCCCAAAGCCGCAAGGCUGAGGGCUAGUGGCGAACGGCUGAGUAACACGUAGGUGACCUGCCCCGAAGUGGGGGACAACUCUCCGAAAGGAGAGCUAAUACCGCAUGUGACCAUCGGUUCAUUCCGGUGAUCAAAGUCGCAAGACGCUUUGGGAGGGGCCUGCGGCGGAUCAGCUUGUUGGUGGGGUAAUGGCCUACCAAGGCUACGAUCCGUAGCUGGUCUGAGAGGAUGGCCAGCCAGACUGGGACUGAGACACGGCCCAGACUCCUACGGGAGGCAGCAGUUAGGGAUCUUGUGCAAUGGGGGAAACCCUGACACAGCAACGCCGCGUGAGGGAUGAAGGCCUUCGGGUCGUAAACCUCUUUUCUGAGGGAAGAAACCUGACGGUACCUCAGGAAUAAGCAACGGCUAACUACGUGCCAGCAGCCGCGGUAAUACGUAGGUUGCGAGCGUUGUCCGGAAUCACUGGGCGUAAAGCGCACGCAGGCGGCUUCGGAAGUCCAAGGUGAAAGCCCUGGGCCCAACCCAGGGAGGCCCUUGGAAACUCCGGAGCUCGAAGGCGGGAGAGGCAGAUGGAAUUUCCGGUGUAGCGGUAAAAUGCGUAGAUACCGGAAGGAACACCAGUGGCGAAAGCGAUCUGCUGGCCCGCUCUUGACGCUCAGGUGCGAAAGCUAGGGGAGCGACCGGGAUUAGAUACCCCGUUAGUCCUAGCCGUAAACGAUGGUCACUAGGUGUUGUCGGUAUCGACCCCGGCAGUGCCGUAGCUAACGCAUUAAGUGACCCGCCUGGGGAGUACGACCGCAAGGUUAAAACUCAAAGGAAUUGACGGGGGCCCGCACAAGCAGCGGAGCGUGCGGUUCAAUUCGAUGGUACGCGAAGAACCUUACCCAGACUUGACAUGCAGGUGGUACCGAGCCGAAAGGUGAGGGACCCGCAAGGGAGCCUGCAAUGGUGUUGCACGGCCGUCGUCAGCUCGUGUCGUGAGANNNNNNNNNNNNNNNNNNNNNNNNNNNNNNNNNNNNNNNNNUCGUGAGAUGUUGGGUUAAGUCCCGCAACGAGCGCAACCCUCGCCGCCUGUUGUAUCCCUCAGGCGGGACUGCCGAGAGAAACUCGGAGGAAGGUGGGGAUGACGUCAAGUCCGCGUGGCCCUUAUGCCUGGGGCUACACGCACGCUACAAUCGCCGGUCACAGCGGGUCGCAACUGCGCGAGCAGGAGCUAAUCCCUUAAAACCGGCGUCAGUUCAGAUCGGAGGCUGAAACUCGCCUCCGUGAAGUCG
rnacentral:rRNA from 1 species